GUGCUCGCUUUGGCAGAACAUAUACUAAAACUGGAACAAUACAGAGAAGAUUAGCAUGGCCCCUGUGCAAGGAUGACACGCAAAUUUGUGAAGCAUUCCAUAUUUAA
rnacentral:snRNA from 1 species